rnacentral:rRNA from 1 species
AUUGAACGCUGGCGGCAGGCUUAACACAUGCAAGUCGAGCGGUAACAGAGAGAAGCUUGCUUCUCUGCUGACGAGCGGCGGACGGGUGAGGAAUGCCUAGGAAUCUGCCUAGUAGUGGGGGAUAACUUGCCGAAAGGUAAGCUAAUACCGCAUACGUCCUACGGGAGAAAGGAGGGGACCUUCGGGCCUUUCGCUAUUAGAUGAGCCUAGGUCGGAUUAGUUAGUUGGUGAGGUAAUGGCUUACCAAAACCGCGAUCCGUAACUGGUCUGAGAGGAUGGUCAGUCACACUGGAACUGAGACACGGUCCAGACUCCUACGGGAGGCAGCAGUGGGGAAUAUUGGACAAUGGGGGGAACCCUGAUCCAGCCAUGCCGCGUGUGUGAAGAAGGUCUUAGGAUUGUAAAGCACUUUAAGUUGGGAGGAAGAGCAGUUAACUAAUAUUUGACUGUUUUGACGUUACCGACAGAAUAAGCACCGGCUAACUUCGUGCCAGCCGCCGCCGUAA